GACGAACGCUGGCGGCGUGCUUAACACAUGCAAGUCGAACGGAAAGGCCCUGCUUUUGUGGGGUGCUCGAGUGGCGAACGGGUGAGUAACACGUGAGUAACCUGCCCUUGACUUUGGGAUAACUUCAGGAAACUGGGGCUAAUACCGGAUAGGAGCUCCUGCUGCAUGGUGGGGUUGGAAAGUUUCGGCGGUUGGGGAUGGACUCGCGGCUUAUCAGCUUGUUGGUGGGGUAGUGGCUUACCAAGGCUUUGACGGGUAACCGGCCUGAGAGGGUGACCGGCCACAUUGGGACUGAGAUACGGCCCAGACUCCUACGGGAGGCAGCAGUGGGGAAUAUUGCACAAUGGGCGGAAGCCUGAUGCAGCAACGCCGCGUGCGGGAUGACGGCCUUCGGGUUGUAAACCGCUUUCGCCUGUGACGAAGCGUGAGUGACGGUAAUGGGUAAAGAAGCACCGGCUAACUACGUG
rnacentral:rRNA from 1 species